GGGAAAUUUCUGGAGUGAUGGAACUGUUCUGUAUCUUGGUAAGGGUCUGGGUUACACAGGUAUAUACCUCAUCAAAACUCAUUGAAUAGGAUUCAUUGAGUGAUAAGACUUGUGCCUUUCAUGGUGCAUAAUUGUUAGCGGGGGGGAAAAAGCAUUAAAAAAAAUAUAAAGCCCUUCCAAGGCUUCCUAUCGUGACCACUAAGCCUCUUCAUCUUACGUUUAGGGCACCCCAUGAGCUGAUCCCAAACUUCCCCUGGGUUCACUUCCUCAUACACCUGCCCAUGCCCCUACGCCCCCGCCCUUCCUCUCUGCUCACUCUUCUGGAACAAGCUCUGUGUUGGCUUAUGCUGGUCCCUCCGCCUGAAAUGUCCUUAUUCUUCUUCUCCUCCUAUUGACUCAGACCCUCCUUUCAAGACGCAGACCACUUGCGAGUGAAGUAGUCCCUGAUAUCCCCCAGGGCUUCCUGAGCAGGCCUGGACUUAGGCUUGUGUUUUAGUCCGUUUGGGCUGCUAUAACAAAAAUAGCAUAAACUGGGUGGUUUAUCAACAACAAACGUUUAUUACUCAUAGUUUUGGAGCCUGGAAGUCUAAGGUCAUGGUGCCGGCAAACUUGGUGUCUGGCAAGAACCCUCUUCCCUGUUAGUAGUCGGUGCCUUCUCACUGUGUCCUCACGUGGUCAAGAGCCGAAGGAGCUCUCUGGGGCCUCAUUUGUAAGGGCACCAAUCCCAUUCAUGUGGACUCUGGCUUCAUGACCUAAUCACCUCCCAAAGGUCCCACCACCCAAUACUAUCACCUUGGGAGUUAGAAUCUCAACGUAUGAAUUUGGGGGGCCACAAACAGCUAGACCCUAGUAGCUUCUUUCACACCACUGUGUGCCCACCCACUCACCGGGUCACUCCUGCCUUCCGAUGGACCUGAGCGCCUUGGGGUUCCUUUGUCUCUGCCUCCAAGUGGCAAUGCCCUUCACACAGUGAGUGUCCAGGAUUUGACCACUAAUGUGCAUUGUGGGGGAGAAGUUCAGAACCCUGUGGUGUCAGAGUUUUGCAUUUACCCCCAGACUGCCCUUGACCUUGGCCCAGUGUGCCCCUUCCUCACACAGCCCAGGCAGGAAUCUGCAAUGGGCAAAAAGACUCUCUUUAGGGCAGCCUCUUCAGUGUUCCCAACAAGAGAGCUGCUGAGGGAAUGGAUGCCAGGCUGGGAUUAAGCAGCCUGUGCCAGGCCAGAGUCUGCAGACCCAUUCUCUAUUGUGUCAGCUCCUAGUCUAUGUCCCCAGCUAGGGAAAUGGGUUUGAGACUGGCCAUGAGGCCAGUGUCCCUGGAGUCCUGUUGGGCCUUGCUCUGUAACAUCAUGACUCUGUCCAGGUGUGUCCUAAGUAGUCUCCUUGCUUCCCCUUUUAGUCUGUUCUCAACUUAGCAACCAGAGCAAACCUUUUAACACAUAACUCUGCUCAUUACCCUUCAGUGUCUCACAUUUCACUCAAAGGAAAAGCCAUGUCCUCACAUUGACCUCCAAGGCCUUACCCAGUAUAGUUUCCAGUUGCCUGUAUCAUCUCUUCUCCUAUCUCUCUGCACCCUGCCCCUCACUCUCUUCUAGCCCCGCGGGCCUCCUUGCCAUACCUCAAACGCUCCAGACAUGCUCCUACCUCAGGGCCUUUGCACUGCCUGUUCCCUCUGCCUGGAACCCACUUCUCUUAGAUACACCCAUGGCUCACUCCUCUGCCUCCUUCAAGCUUUGCUCAAACAUCAGCCUCUCAGAGAGAACUCCUCUGAUUUAACAUUGCAACCCCCUCUCAAUCCCCAUCACCCUGCCUGGUAUUUUUUUUCCUUAGCCUUUAUCACCUUCUAACAUACUGUUUAACAUACAUUGCACCUAUCUUGUUUAUGGUCGGUUCCCCUCCCUCAGACCCCACUGGAUUUAAAGACCUAUCAGGACAGUUCUUUUUCUGGUGUGCUUACUGAUAAGUUCUAAGGGCUCAGAACAAUGCCUGAUACCCAGCAGGUGCGAGACUGCAGAGGUGCCCUAGGCCCUGAGCAGGCCCCACUCUUGCGGGCAUGUGUGUAGCUCAGGGUGAGGGCUCCCUUGUGCUCACAAGGCUGCUCUCGGCACCACAACCACAGCCUGUCAGAGCAGAUGGGAGCUCAGAGGACCCAGGCCAAGCUUUCUUCAGCACCCACCACCCUACAGCCACCAGACUCGCCUAUCUCCCCAGAGAUAAGACUUCUCCCUUCUGCCUCCCCGAUCUCUAGCCCAGUAGUUGCUCAGUGCAGCUUUGAACUAGAACAACCUCCUACUUGAUAGCUGGAGAAACAGAGGACCCAAGAGGAGAGGGGACAUUUGCAAUUCUGGGACAGAGUUAGGAUUUGAACCCAGGUUUCUUUUCUCCUAGCCCAGGGUGCAGAAAGAAGGUAUAUGCAGAAAACCAAGGCCUUUAGAGGGUGCUUCAGGCCCUGCCUCUGCCCCACGCAAGCUCACCUACCAACACCAAGCCACAGAGAAUCCAGGCUCUGCCUACUCACCCCUGUCCACAAGGAAGAGGGCAGCCAAGGCCAGGGUGACCACCCACAGGCGGACAGCCAUGCUGAUCCUGGGCUGACGUGGCCUGAAGCUGCUGUGAAGAUGAGAGUGGUGAUAGCAGAUGGGAAAACACUUUGCAGAGUAUGAAAUAAGACCUUCCUACAGCAGCCCCACCAAGAAGUCAUUCAUCCUCCAGUGAUGGGGAGAAGUUUCAUUGUUGGAUGGGUUUUUCUUAAGGUUUGAUUUUUUAAAAUAUUUUUAGUGAGGUAUAGAUGAUGUAGAAUGUUAUAUAAGUUUCAGGUGUACGACAUAGUGAUUCACAAUUUUUAAAGUCUAUACUCCACUUAUAAUUAUUAUAAAAUGUUGGCUAUAUUCUCUGUGCUGUACAAUAUAUCCUUGUAGCUUAUUUAUUUUAUCCACAGUAGUUUGUACCUCUUAAUCCCCUACCCGUAUCAUGCCACCCCCUUCCCUCGCCCCACUGGUAACCACUAGUUUGUUCUCUAUAUCUGUGAGUCAGUUUCUGUUUUGUUAUGUUCAUUAGUUUGUUUUAUUUUUUAGAUUCCACAUAUAAGUGAUAUCAUACAGUAUUUGUCUUCAUUGCUGGAUGCUUUUGAACAGAGCCCUUCCUCACACAAGAGGUCUGCUUCCCUGUCUAGCCUCCUGUACCUGCAUGAAUCCCAGAUGAGCACCUCCAGGCUGAGCAGGUCCAGCCCCUUGCCUGCCCCCACCCUUGCUUUUGUUUUUUUUGGCUGCGCGGCUUGCGGGAUCCUAGUUCCCCAACCAGGAUCGAACGAGUGCCCCCUGCAGUGGAAGUGUGGAGUCUCAACCACUGGACCGCAAGGGAAGUCCCCCCACCCUUGCAUAUGAUGAAGCUCCUGGGUCUCUCAGCAUUUUUCACCUGGUCCCCAGGUCUGUCUGACAGUGUCCCAGGUUAGAGUGAGAAGGGGACAGAAUGGAGCAAAGGAGCUUGUCACCUCCCUUGUUUUGGACCUUAGACCUCUAUGAUUGUGACAGGAAUGGCUGCUAAUGGUUUUAGCUGUUCGAGGGAACAGAAAACUUGAAUUCUGCAUCCUCCAAAGUCCAGAGUAAAGUCAAGGGCAGCCUAUGGGCUGCCAAGCCCACCUACCAUUCCCCACUGCCCAAGGUCUCUUUCCUCAGACAAACACCUCCUAGAUUCACUCACGGUAACAAACUUCCUAAUCUGUCCUCCCACCAAAGUGUGAGCCUGACUCAUAUCCAACUGCUAUUGGACAACAUCCCUGUGGAUGUUAAUGUAUCCAAAUAAAGCUCAUUCAUUAAUUCAAAAUUCACCCAUUCAUUCAACAAGAGUUUAAUGAGCAGCUAGGUGCCCAGCUCCAUGCUGAGUGUUUGGAUACAGCAGGGAAUAAGUCAGACACAGUUCUUGCCCUCGAGGAGCUUGUGGUUAAGUGAGUGAUUGGUACUAAAUGAGCAGCGGAACUGUAUCAUCACUGUUGGGAUAAGUUGCAUGAAUGAGAUACGCUCAGUGUCUUAGGAGGAUCCAAGACUGACCUAUCCAUCUGGGAAAUCGGAGAAGGCCACAGGGUGAGUGAGCGGGGCAGACUGUAGCAGAGUGGAACCGUGUUGCAGGCAGCGGGAACAGAAUGUAUAAAAGCCCUGAGGCAGGAAGAAGCUUGGCACAUCCAGGGAACAGAGGGGCCAGUGUAGCCAAGGUGACGUCAGUGGAUAGAGAGGGGCAUGAGACGAGCCUGGAAGGGUCAGGCGGGCCAGAUCACUGGCCCCCACCUUCCAGCUGUGGAAUCUGGGAGCCAAGCCUGCGGCCUUCUUUACUUUUCCACUGAGCAUAUAGGUUCUGCUUCCUCAAUAGCUCUUGACGCCGUCCCUCUCCACCCAGUGCCAUACCCUGGGCCUGGCCAUCCUCAUCUCUGACCUAGACUAUCUUUGGCUACCUCAAGAGUCUCCUAGCUCAUAUCCCUGCCUCCUCACCUGCCACUCCAAACCACUGCACACAGAGGCCAGGACGAGCUUCCUAACAUGCAAAUUGGACCAAGUCAGCCCUGCCCAAAGUGCUGUAAUGGUGCCCCCUGCCAGCAGGACAAAGCCCAGGCUCCUCAGCUUGUUGUUCAAGGCCCUUCAGCCUCUGAUUCCAACCUACAUUUUCAGCCUCAUCUUUGCCCAGCCCCACUCGGGACCUACACUUCUUCAGUUCUACUGAACCCUUUGCAUGAUUUAUUCUCCCUGCCGGCAAUGCCAGGUCUCCCAUCUCUAUCCCCCUCAGCCCCAUCUUAUAAAAACCAGCUCAAAUAUCCCCCUCUUUUGAAACCUUUCUUACUGCCCUCCACCAGCCUGGGCAAGGUCACUGCUGUCCACUGACCCUUCUUCCUCCAUCAGUCUUUGCCCUGUGCUCUCGUGGCGUUUGCUUGUCCAUCUUGCUCAUAAAGCUCUCUGGGUGUCCAGUCCUGGGCCUGGCACACAGUAGGUGCCCAGUAAAUACUGAGUAACAGUUCCAAGAGGGGGCAGAAGACAGUACAUCCAAGGACAGAGAUGGUCCCAGCUUUGGAAAAGAGGGAGCAGUGGAGUGAAGGCAAUUGCUAUCGCCACUGGUCCCUCCAUGCUCCUGGGAGUUCGUGAGAACCCUAGAGAGCCCACUGACACAUGCCAGACCCCAGGAUGCACAGCGUGGGUCAGAGUGCCUGGUGUGUCUCUGGCAAAGGGGUUGUCUCCCUCCAGCCUGAGCCAACCCCUCCCUCACUACCAGCCU